rnacentral:rRNA from 1 species
CCUACGGGAGGCAGCAGUGAGGAAUAUUGGUCAAUGGGCGCGAGCCUGAACCAGCCAAGUCGCGUGAGGGAAGAAGGUACAACGUAUCGUAAACUUCUUUUGUAAGGGAACAAAGGCGGGGACUAGUCCCCGGAUGAGGGUACCUGAUGAAAAAGCAUCGGCUAACUCAGUGCCAGUAGCCGCGGUAAUACGGAGGAUGCGAGCGUUAUCCGGAUUUAUUGGGUUUAAAGGGUGCGUAGGCGGGGAGGUAAGUCAGCGGGUAAAUGCUUGCGCUCAACGGGGUGAAGUGCAAUUGAUACUGGCAGCCUUGAGUGCAGAUGCGGUAGGAGGAAUGUGUGGUGUAGCGGUGAAAUGCAUAGAUAUCACACAGAACACCGAUUGCGAAGGCAUCUCACGAAUCCGCGAUUGACGCUGAUGCACGAAAGCGUGGGUAUCAAACAGGAUUAGAUACCCGUGUAGUC